UUAGCAUAUCAAUAAGCAGAGAAAAGAAACUAACAAGGAUUCCCCUAGUAACGGCGAGCGAAGUGGGAAGAGCUCGAGCCUAAAAUCUCUGGCAGUUGAUGCCAGCGAAUUGUGGCUGGGAGAGGCAGCUGGACCCUGGCCGGUGCUGUCGAAGUUGACCUGGAAAGGCACGUCAGAGAGGGUGACAGCCCCGUGCACGACACCGCUGGACAGGGUCGCUACUGUCUUCAGAGAGUCGGGUUGUUUGGGAAUGCAGCCCAAAGUGGGUGGUAAACUCCAUCUAAAGCUAAAUACAGGCAUGAGACCGAUAGCGAACAAGUACCGUGAGGGAAAGGUGAAAAGUACUUUGAAAAGAGAGUCAAAAAGACCGCGAAACCGUUAGGAGGGAAACGAAUGCAGCCAAAGUGGCUCUCAUUCAGGCUCAGGAGUUGUUGGCCUGCAGUGCCGGGCUGUCAGACGCCGAAGGGUGCUGCAGCCAGGAUACAGCGGCCGACUGCUCUGCAUUCCUGAUGGGAGUCGGCCAACAGCAGUUAUCCCUGACUCGGGAGGGUCGUUGGGAAGGUAGCUUCUUGGUUUUACCAGGAGGAACUUAUAGCCAUCGGCCUGGCAGUUGGGGGUGACCGAGGAGUGCUGUGACUUUUCACACCAGCAGUGCAGGCUCCCUAGGGGCCGGGUCGCUUCUGUCCGUGUGGGCAAUGCUUCUGGGACUGCGUGCAGUGUCGGAGGACAUGUGUGUGCUCGGAUGGGAGGUCGGNCCACGCCAUGCACUGAAGUUGUUGGUACCUGGAUGGUUUCAUUCGACCCGUCUU
rnacentral:rRNA from 1 species